GCUGGUGUAGCUCAGUGGUAGAGCAGCUGAUUUGUAAUCAGCCGGUCGCAAGUUCAAAUCUUGUCACCAGCU
rfam:Gloeocapsa sp. PCC 7428, complete genome.